rnacentral:rRNA from 1 species
GACGAACGCUGGCGGCGUGCUUAACACAUGCAAGUCGAACGUGAUUUUUGUGGAAAUUCUUUCGGGAAUGGAAAUGAAAUGAAAGUGGCGAACGGGUGAGUAACACGUGAGCAACCUACCUUACACAGGGGGAUAGCCGUUGGAAACGACGAUUAAUACCGCAUGAGACCACAGAAUCGCAUGAUAUAGGGGUCAAAGAUUUAUCGGUGUAAGAAGGGCUCGCGUCUGAUUAGCUAGUUGGAAGGGUAAAGGCCUACCAAGGCGACGAUCAGUAGCCGGUCUGGGAGGAUGAACGGCCACAUUGGAACUGAGACACGGUCCAAACUCCUACGGGAGGCAGCAGUGGGGAAUAUUGCACAAUGGGGGAACCCUGAUGCAGCGACGCCGCGUGAGCGAAGAAGGUUUUCGAAUCGUAAAGCUCUGUCCUAUGAGAAGAUAAUGACGGUAUCAUAGGAGGAAGCCCCGGCUAAAUACGUG